GCAUUUCCUAUCUACUGCUGCUGAUAAAACCAACUAGUCCAUGGUUUCCUGACUCUCACCUUGCUUCCUUACUAACAUUACUUAAGCAACGUAACACAAUCAGAUCUCAAUGUAACCAACACAAGAAUAAUGCAGAAGAUUCUUGCAGUUAGCAGCACAUGUAAAUUUUAGUGAUUGAGCAAUUGCUGUCGUUGAUAUGCAUGAAUAGACCUUGUAAUUUUACAAAUUUGUUUCCUGUUAUUUUAUUGUCUUUCCAGUGAUUGCAUUUCAGAUUGAGUGCAAAACUGCUGACAUGGAACCGCUAAAUUGGAAAUGCUCUGGAGACCAAAGCUGGAGUUUGUUGUGCAUAUAUAGCAACCAUUGGAGGCAAUUUUAACCUAACUUGCUGGGGGGAAAGCCCAUGAGACCAGAUGGAAUGCUGAUUUUAAUGGAGACCGAAGUCAGGAGAUCAGACAGCGCCCAAUUGCCCAGAUUUUCGCCAUGACAGAGAGCCUCUCUGUCCUUUUUCAGCAAUGCUAAAGA